rnacentral:tRNA from 1 species
GGAUGGCUCAGUGGUAGAGCAUGUGCUUAGCCUGCACGAGGUCCUGGGUUCAGUCCCCAGGACCUCCA